UCGCGCCUCCACCCGCCACCCUCACCCCCGACGACGAGGACGACGACGAGGAGCCGCCUAUCGAGAUCAUCCUGACGCCCACCGCCUCCACCUCCUCCCCCUCCUCCUCCCGAUUACCAAUCCCAAACCGCAACACCCCCAAUCACACCGGAGGCAAAUCAAAUCGGCCCCGGGCUUAAAGGUGGGUGCGAUGGGAGAGAAAGAGAGAAAGAAAGAAGGCGGCGGUGCGGCGGUGGUGGUGGUGGGAGGAGGAAGGAGAGAAGAGAAAGGAAAAGAGAGAGAGAGGUUAGCUUUUCUUUUGGGGCGUAGUUGGGGUUGGGUGUACUACUUAUUUGGUGCGGGAGAGAGGUGAUUAGCGAGUGGAUUAGACAUGGGAGGGGGGGAGUGGUGUCGUGGUGAGGUGUGGUGUGGUGUGGUGUUCGCCUCGCCUUUUGAUCGUUUCGGUUUGGCGUGGAAUUUUUGGCAGUGAGGCGGGUGAGCGUCGCGCGGCGGUAGGCAGGGCCAGGCAAAGGCGUCGUCGCUGUUGAGUGCGCGACGCCUUCGCCUUGGCCUUGGCCCUGGCCCUUCCUUUGAUCCUUUCCCCCGCGAGCGUGCCACGGCGUUGGGCGUUGGCACCGCGGUGUAAGGGGUGGUAAUUUGCAGUUGAG
rnacentral:lncRNA from 1 species